rnacentral:rRNA from 1 species
UGCAGUCGAACGCUGAAGCUUGGUGCUUGCACUGGGUGGAUGAGUGGCGAACGGGUGAGUAAUACGUGAGUAACCUGCCCUUGACUCUGGGAUAAGCCUGGGAAACUGGGUCUAAUACUGGAUACGACAUGUCACCGCAUGGUGGUGUGUGGAAAGGGUUUUACUGGUUUUGGAUGGGCUCACGGCCUAUCAGCUUGUUGGUGGGGUAAUGGCUCACCAAGGCGACGACGGGUAGCCGGCCUGAGAGGGUGACCGGCCACACUGGGACUGAGACACGGCCCAGACUCCUACGGGAGGCAGCAGUGGGGAAUAUUGCACAAUGGGCGGAAGCCUGAUGCAGCGACGCCGCGUGAGGGAUGACGGCCUUCGGGUUGUAAACCUCUUUCAGCACGGAAGAAGCGAAAGUGACGGUACGUGCAGAAGAAGCGCCGGCUAACUACGUGCCAGCAGCCGCGGUAAUACGUAGGGCGCAAGCGUUGUCCGGAAUUAUUGGGCGUAAAGAGCUCGUAGGCGGUUUGUCGCGUCUGCUGUGAAAGCCCGGGGCUUAACCCCGGGUGUGCAGUGGGUACGGGCAGACUUGAGUGCAGUAGGGGAGACUGGAAUUCCUGGUGUAGCGGUGAAAUGCGCAGAUAUCAGGAGGAACACCGAUGGCGAAGGCAGGUCUCUGGGCUGUUACUGACGCUGAGGAGCGAAAGCAUGGGGAGCGAACAGGAUUAGAUACCCUGGUAGUCCAUGCCGUAAACGUUGGGCACUAGGUGUGGGGAACAUUCCACGUUUUCCGCGCCGUAGCUAACGCAUUAAGUGCCCCGCCUGGGGAGUACGGCCGCAAGGCUAAACUCAAGGAAUUGACGGGGCCCGCACAAGCGGCGGAGCAUGCGGAUUAAUUCGAUGCACGCGAGAUCNUACCAGGCUUGACAUACACCGGACGGG